AGGAGGAGGAGGAGUAUGACGAGGAGGAGCACGAGGAGGAGACCGAUUACAUCAUGUCCUACUUCGACAACGGGGAGGACUUCGGUGGGGACAG
rnacentral:lncRNA from 1 species